rnacentral:tRNA from 1 species
CGCGGUGAUCCGGGGAGGCCCGGCCACCGGCUGCAAACCGGUAGGGCAGCAGGUUCGAUCCCUGCCACCGCGU